CCCUUAGAUGUUCUGGGCCGCACGCGUGCUACACUGAGUGGAUCAGCGGGUCAGGUUGCGCGAAAGUGUUUCCUAAUCUUGAAAUCCGCUCGUGAUGGGGAUUGACGGUUGCAAUUUUCCGUCAUGAACGAGGAAUACCUUGUAAGCGCGGGUCAUCAUCCCGCGCUGAAUACGUCCCUGCCCUUUGUACACACCGCCCGUCGCUCCUACCGAUUGAGCGGUCCGGUGAGGCUUUGGGAUCUGAGCGGAAAGAGCGUUUCGCUGUUUCUGCCCGGAAAACUCAGUCGAACCUUAUCAUUUAGAGGAAGGAGAAGUCGUAACA
rnacentral:rRNA from 1 species